UCUCUCUUUCCGCCGUUCUUCUUUCACAUUUCGUCUUCCACAUCUUCCAUUACUCUUCUUCUCUCCAAAUCCGUUUCAUCGCAUACUUUCACCACUAACUACUCUAAUCAGACCUUGCUUGAACUCAUUUAAUAAAUUCUUUUCACCUUUCUCUCCGUUUGUCUAUUAAUAGAUCUAUUUCCUUAGCUUAUGUCUAGAUUAAUAUUGAAAAGCUUCUCUCAGACAAACAUCCCGAUGGAACCCAAAAGAAACGCUUCAAUCUCCAGCGACCGCAAAACCAACAAGAAGACUGUCGCCUCCUCCGCGACUGCGAAACCAAACGGGAAGUCCACGGCUUCUGUUCCAUGAGACGGUGAAGAAAACGAUCUGGACUCUCUUCUUCUGCGCUGACGACGAUUCGGUGGCACAUUAUUUUCAAUCGCCCAUGAUGAGGUCAUUCAGACAAUCCCACGACCUUCUGUUCAAUUUAUCUUCACCGUCUUCUAAAGCACAAGGGACACAGUUUUGUUAUAAGGUCAUCACACAAAUACUCUUUUGUUAGUCGAGAUACAAAACAGAAGCCAGAAUCAUAAUUAAGUCAAAUCAACAAGGAACCCAACUUCAACCCUCUGCAUACGUUCAUGAUGAUAACAAGAAACUACUCUUCAAUUGGCUCCAUACACUCCGAUCUGAAGAAAAAAAAAUCAUUGAUGAGGUCAGGCAGAUAAAUGAUCAGACUUUUUAAAUCUCACAAGAUGGAUGAAGAAGAAGAAGUUUCCAUUGAAGAUGUACCGGAUGUAAAAGAGGAGAGCGCUGUGCUUGAGUUUCGCCUUAACCUUCUCCAAAUGAUUCAUUGAUUUAAGUUAUUGGUCGUCCCAUCCUCUUAUGACCACUCAUAUGAUAAGUAUAAAGGUUGAACUGUUGUGUUCCUUAGAAAAGGACUAUAUAUGCAUCUUUAUUCCAUGUUUUAUAAAGGUGUCCUCAAACGUUGUAAUCUGGCGGAGACUU